GGCGAUUGUUCCGCGUGUCAAUCAGAGCCGCCGUAUUGACUGACUGCGGAAGUUUGACCAGGAGCCUCUGAAGCUGAUGUUACUCCUCUCCCCGCUUCCCCCCGAAUUAAGGUUGAGCUUCAACUCGGACUGCAACUUCCUUUCUCUGUCCACCAUCUGAUAUGAGAACGGAUGGAAUUGCAGCCAGUAAUCUCAAAACAAGAUCUGAUCGAGCCAAUCGAUUCACUGGCACAGGAAUGUUAUCAGCCUUUUGAAUCUCACUGGAUAUUUUAUUUGUCUUCUGUCCUGCCUGCUUUGAAAGGUUUCAAACUUCAGUGAGACCGAAGUACACAGACCUCAGUGAGCGUGUACCAGUGAACUGACUGUAGGAAGAGCUUUAAGCGGGUACAAAGACUGAAAUAGCAACACCUCAUUCGCAGCAGCAAGACAUAGAACACGUUCUAUUUGUGAGUGGUCCUUCAACUGGUUGUUGACACUAGAGGGCGGUGGGGAUUCCCACGUGAUGGAGAAACAGUGGAAAUGUGGGGACUGCGGGAAGGAAUUCAACUUCCAGAGUUUGCGAAAGCCAUCGCCACCAUCACACUGGGGAGAGGCCAUUCACCUGCUCAGUGUGUGGGAAGGGGUUCACCCAUUCAUCUGCCCUGGUGACCCCCCAGCGGGUCCAGACGGGAGGACAAGGCCUUUCACAUGCAACGUGUGUAGGAAGGCGUUCGUUCAGUUAUCCACUCUGCAUAGUCACCAGCGGGUCCACUCUAGGGAGAGGCCUUUCACCUGCUGUGUAUGUGGGAAAGCAUUCAACCGGUCUUCCAACUUCCAGAGUCACCAGUGGGUCCACACAAGGGAGAGGCCGUACACCUGCUCUGUCUGAUGGAAGGCGUUCGUUCAGUUAUGCACCCUGGUUACCCACCAGCGGGUCCACACCAGGGAGAGGCCGUUCACCUCUGUGUGUGGUAAGCACUUUCAGCGCUUCAUCCACCCUGCAGUGUCACCGGGGAGAGACUAUUCACCUGCUCCAUGUGCGGGGAGGGCUUCAAUGAUUCAUCUUCUCUGCAGAGACACCACGGGUCCACACCGGGGAGAGGCCGUUUACAUGCUCCAUUGGCGGGAAGGCAUUCAUUCAGUCCUCCAACCUGCAGAGUCACCAACAGGUCCACACCGGGGAGAGACCAUUCGCCUGCUCAGUGUGUGGGAAGGGGUUCAUUGAUUGGUCUUCCCUGCGGAGACACCAGCCUAUCUACAAGUGCGGGAAGGGAUUCAGUCAGUCAUACCAUCUGGUCAGACACCAAUCCAGUCACACUGAGUAGCAAACGUUUGGAUGCUUUGUGGGUGUUACUUGUAUUAAUAUUCAAGAGGGCAUACAUUGCCUGGUGAGUUGAGCAACUGUUAAGACACACUUACUGAUUUGGAACAUGGACUGAAGUCAGGAGGUGUAUAUCUGUCAUGUUUGACGCUGAAGAAACCUGCCCUGUGUAAAGAUUGGCUCCGGUUUCUCCGACCCCACAAGGCUGGCAGGACGAUGACGUGGUGUGAGAUAUUGUAUUGUAGGUCUCUUUACUAACCCACUCUCAAACUCUUUCUAUUAAGUCAUUCAUAAGUCUUUUCUAACUUGCUCACAGGAGCCCUGUAUCUAAUAAUAUUGCAUUCCCAUUUCAUUCACCCAACUCUUUCCUGUAACAUAGCUUGCUUCAUUCAUUCAUUCACUCACUCACUCACUCACUCACAGUUUUGUAGUAUAUUUUACUAUUACAAAAUAGAAUAAGCUAAAACACUCAUUACUGCUUUUUCACACCUUCAUCCCUUACCAGCUCUUGCUACAAGCAGUGUUUAGGCCUAUUUCUGCAUCAAAUGCUACCUCUCAAUAACUGUCAACAUGUUUUCAGAACAAUACCUCCCUGCCAUCUUAUCACCAUGAAAGAAUACGAUAUUAAUCAGCCCUUGCCAACCAUCUAUCAGGACCUGAAUAAAUACAUCAAUACAUAAAUACAUCAGUUUCCCUGACUCGCAGCCACUGUCCCCUUUAAGAAGCUGACUAUCGAGACUGCGCUUCCAUGAAAUUGCAGGAAUGAAUGAAACUCUCACUGGCAAAUACUAAACAAGUCUCCCAACCCAGCUGCAGUAAACAGUUUAAUUCCGUUUAUUCUUUUAUUCAGUGCAGGUACAAUGGCUAACUUAUUUAGAGCACACAGGCCGAGUAAUUUUACUAACAUUUGCUGACUUAAAAGACAAAAGGACUGUCACCUCUUAGUUCUGCAAGCAGACCACACAGACAAUCUCAAUCCCAUCGGGAGUAGCAGCCAGCGUUUGUGUACAAUAGAUAAAACAAUGGGACACCAUAGUGAUGGAGUGUUAAUCUCUAUAAGAACUAUGUGUAAAGAGGCUGCUGUAAGGAUGGUAUUUCGGGUUUCCAUCACCACCUCAAACUUGUACAACUUGUGGUUGCUGAAUAAAGAGGCUGUUUUCACCAG